rnacentral:lncRNA from 1 species
GCCCGAUUAUCCAGUAUGAAGUACUGAAAAACUCUUUAUAUAUAUAUAUAUAAAGAAAUGUAUAGUUAUCCUACACAAGUCUAUAAGAAGUAAACUCUUCUUCGAUGCUGAUAGAAAAUUUUAAAAAUGCUCAAAGAAAAUUAUUUAAGUUCUAAACUUAACUCUUUAUUGAAUUUUCUUAAUACUUGAUCCCUCAAUAUCUCACAAACUCUCUAGUCUGUGCAUCAAUUUUUUUUUAAAAAUAUUUGGUU